GUGCCAGCAGCCGCGGUAAUACAGAGGGUGCGAGCGUUUAUCGGAAUUACUGGGCGUAAAGGGUGCGUAGGUGGUUCGAUAAGUCAGAUGUGAAAUCCCUGGGCUUAACCUGGGAAUUGCAUUUGAUACUGUCAAACUAGAGUGUGGUAGAGGUAAGCGGAAUUCCCGGUGUAGCGGUGAAAUGCGUAGAUAUCGGGAGGAACAUCAGUGGCGAAGGCGGCUUACUGGACCAACACUGACACUGAGGCACGAAAGCGUGGGUAGCAAACAGGAUUAGAAACCCCAGUAGUCC
rnacentral:rRNA from 1 species